rnacentral:rRNA from 1 species
UGCCAGCAGCCGCGGUAAUACGGAGGGAGCUAGCGUUGUUCGGAAUUACUGGGCGUAAAGCGCGCGUAGGCGGUUUUUUAAGUCAGAGGUGAAAGCCCAGUGCUCAACACUGGAACUGCCUUUGAAACUGGAAAACUUGAAUCUUGGAGAGGUCAGUGGAAUUCCGAGUGUAGAGGUGAAAUUCGUAGAUAUUCGGAAGAACACCAGUGGCGAAGGCGACUGACUGGACAAGUAUUGACGCUGAGGUGCGAAAGCGUGGGGAGCAAACAGGAUUAGAUA